AGCGGAUGUAGAUAACUCUCUUCCCUUCUCUUACCUUUCUUUGUACUCGUUCGACCGAUGGGAAGAUGCAACAGAGGUGAAGCUUGAUAGAGAGCAGCGAAGGGAAACAAUGGAGGUGAAGGAAGGUAGAUACAGAACAUCAAAAGGACAUUGAUGGAGCUAGAGUUGAGAAAAUCCCUGACGUAACCUCUAUUAGUUUGAACAAAAAUUUGGUGCCUGGUAAAGUAUACUUUUUUGCAUAUUUCUGGGAUCUUUUUUGUCCUUGAUAUUGAUUUCCUAAUUUGAGAUUACAAAGGUGAUAAGAGUGCUUACUUGCAAUGACUACCAGAGGAUUUGCAGAGGAGGAGCUCAGAGAAGCUAUAGACUUUAUUCAUGAGUUUAUAAAGCUUUCUUGUAUGUAUGUAUAUUAUUGCUUUAAUAGCAAUGUACUGUUAUAUUUAUAGAA